rnacentral:rRNA from 1 species
AACGAACGCUGGCGGCAUGCCUAACACAUGCAAGUCGAACGAGACCUUCGGGUCUAGUGGCGCACGGGUGCGUAACGCGUGGGAACCUGCCCUUAGGUUCGGAAUAACUCCCCGAAAGGGGUGCUAAUACCGGAUAAUGUCUUCGGACCAAAGAUUUAUCGCCUUUGGAUGGGCCCGCGUUGGAUUAGCUAGUUGGUAGGGUAAAAGCCUACCAAGGCGACGAUCCAUAGCUGGUCUGAGAGGAUGAUCAGCCACACUGGGACUGAGACACGGCCCAGACUCCUACGGGAGGCAGCAGUGGGGAAUAUUGGACAAUGGGCGAAAGCCUGAUUCAGCAAUGCCGCGUGAGUGAUGAAGGCCUUAGGGUUGUAAAGCUCUUUUACCCGGGAUGAUAAUGACAGGACCGGGAGAAUAAGCUCCGGCUAACUCCGU